GACGAACGCUGGCGGCAUGCCUAAUACAUGCAAGUCGAACGCUGAAGCACUCUGCUUGCAGAGUGCGGAUGAGUGGCGAACGGGUGAGUAACACGUGGGAAAUCUGCCUAUAAGAGGGGGAUAACAUGCGGAAACGGAUGCUAAUACCGCAUAUAUUCUUGGACCGCCUGGUCCUUGAAAGAAAGACGGCUUUGCUGUCUCUUAUAGAUGAUUCCUCGCCGUAUUAGUUAGUUGGUGGGGUAAAGGCCUACGAAGAAAAGGAUACGUAGCCGACCUGAGAGGGUGAUCGGCGACCCUGGAACUGAGCCAGCGACAAGACUACUACGGGAGGCAGCAGUAGGGAAUCUUAGGCAAUGGGCGAAAGCAUGAUGGAGCAAUGCCGAGUGAAUGAAGAAGGUCUUCGGAUCGUAAAGUUCUGUUAUUAGAGAAGAACAAGUCAAGGAGUAACUGUCUUGACUUUGACGGUAACUAACCAGAAAGUCACGGCUAACUACGUG
rnacentral:rRNA from 1 species